CAGUUUAAAUUACACCGUCGUAUUUAUGUUGACGAACAAGCAGGCUCCAUCGUAGCCACAGUAUAAACAGUUUUGAGGAAGACUGCCAGGCUUCACGCGUUAGUCACCAUGAGUUACGGUCGGCCUCCGCCAGACGUCGAUGGCAUGACUUCCCUCAAAGUCGACAACCUCACUUACCGAACAUCGCCCGAAGCACUCAGACGUGUUUUCGAAAAGUAUGGCCGGGUAGGAGACGUCUAUAUUCCCCGAGACCGCUACACGAAAGAAAGCCGGGGAUUUGCGUUUGUGCGGUUUCACGACAAACGCGACGCCGAAGAUGCGAUGGACGCUAUGGACGGCGCACUCCUGGAUGGACGAGAGUUACGUGUCCAGAUGGCCCGAUAUGGUAGACCCCCUGACUCCUACUACGGUGGAGGGCGGCGAGGGGGACCACCCAGGAGGUAUGGCGGUUAUGGACGCCGAAGCGGAAGCUAUUCCCCCAGCCCAAGGCACAGAAGACGGAGCAGAUCCCGCAGCAGGAGCCGCUCUCGUUCCAGAAGCCGAUCCCGCUACAGCAGGUCCAGGUCCCGGUCCUACUCAAGAUCCAAGUCCCACUCUCCCAAAAGUAAGAAGACCGAGGCCAAGUCCCAUUCUCGUUCCAGAUCGAGAUCCAGGUCUCGUUCCAAGUCUAGGUCAAGAAGCCGUACCCCUUCCUCCAAUAGAGGAUCAAGGUCUAGAUCUAAAAGCCAGCCCAAGUCAGCAGAAAAUGGAGGUGAAUCCCCGUAGAAGUCAACACGUCAGUAACAGAACAGUUCUGAUAUUAAAACACAUCUGGACUUCUCUUCUUCCCAAGCUGCGGCACCAGUUUGCUAAAGUGGCGUUUGAGCUGAGCUGAGGCAGUAUGAGCGGUUAGAAGUUUCAGGUGAAGACUUCAGAAUUUCAUGUCCCAGACUGGAUUCCCACACAAGCACCAGUUGUAUUGAAGGCUGUUACGGUGUCUUCCAUGCUUUAGUCAGUUUUAUUUAAGGGCUUUCCAUUUCAUUUCAUUGUGCUUUGGAUUUUAAUUUCUUUUUAUAACAUUUAUGGUUUUAAAAAUCACGUUGACUGUGAAGAAUGUGUUGGGGCCUGAAUUUCAAAUGAGCGAUCAAGAUAAUACAAGCAUGUCCCGUUGAUCUCUGUUUCCUCUGUCCUUUGAUAAAUGGUGUCAUAGUUGCCACCCAAUCACAUGCAGCAUCACAAAAGUGGAAUAAGAAUUUAAUCAUACUUGUGAAUAAAUUAGGCUGUUACAGUGCCAGUUCAUUUCAGUUAGGUAAGAUAAUGAUAAUUAUAUUAACUUCAUUACUGAAUCUUAUUAGUUAAUGAUGACUGUGGGCAUGCCUCUUCCUAAUGUUAUCGCCCCUGUUGUAAACUCAAACUGGACAAAUGUGCUGUAUGUAGGGUUGCAGUGGUAUGAGGAUUUUCACGGUAUAACGGUCUCAGAAAAUAUCAGUUUCACCUUAUUACAGUACACAGUUAAUAUCUGCUAGAGUGACCCUCAAAUGCAUGAAAACAGAACAAAAAGCAUUUAACUAAAGUUAUUUUGCAUCUUAGUAGAGGACAUAUUCACAUCAUUCAGUAAAAAUACUAUCACACUGUGAAAGUAGUCAGCUUUGUUACAAGUAAAGGUCCUGCAUUGAACAUGUCCACUAAAAGUGUUAUCAUGAAAAUGUACUUAAAGUAUUAAAGGUAGAAGUUAGCUACUCAGAGCAGAAAAUGUUAUAGAUACUAUACUGUUGGAUCAUUACGUUAAAGGACUGUCAGUCAUGCACUGAUGUAAAAGCAGGAUUUUUUUUUUUCCUUCAAUACUGGUAAUAAACAAAUGUGCGCGGUGUGAUAACCAUCAAUUUUCAUACCAUGGUGUACCGUAAAACAGAUAUACCACUACAACCCUAGCUGUAUGUUCUGCUUCUCUUACCUUUGUAUAGAGUUAUCACGGUUUGUCUGUGACAUUCUAACAAAGUAAAAUGUCAGUGUCAGAAAAACUACAAAUAUAGCCAAAGCGACACUUUCAUUCUCUUGUCUUGUUUUGUCCAACGAAUAGUCCUAAAUCUAAACCUGUUUAGUUUACACUGAUAUAAAACAGAAAAGCUGCAUAUCUUCACAUUUAAGAAGCUGAAGCCAGAGAAUUAGUUUUUCUUUUGCUGUUAAAAGGUUUGAGCUAUUAACAUGUAAUACCCUGUUGUCACUUAAACAAGUGUACAUGUGCAGAUAAUGUGAAAAUUUAGGUCUUUAGUUUAGUCACUGAGCUCUUCAUGAAUACCAGAAAGCCCAGGUGAAACCCAAACUUAUUUGGCUAACACACUGAUCUGGCUUUUGUGGUGUCAGCAUAAUGGGAAUAAAACUUUUUUCUACCAAUAUAAACACAUUUUAAUCAUUUUAUUUAAUAACGACUCUAAACAUAUCUUUUCAUUUUUUUAUUCUAAACCUGCUUGUAACGUCAUUUUUGUUUUUGUGCACUAGACACAGUUGUGUAUUGCUGAUUAGCUGUAAAGGUGGUAUGUUGCGCUGCUGAGUGCUUGGAUAUAUCCAGUGUUCUCCAGAAUCCUGUAAAUACCAGUCUUAUUGUUGCUGCAAUCUCGCCCUGUGUACAGUGAAAUGGUUUCCUGACUUGGUCAUGCUAGACAGAUGUGACAUUAAAGAGCUGGCAUUUUGUCUAUAAUGGCCUCUUAUUGUGUUUAAAUGUGUGAUAGUAAAAUACUAUAAAGGGACAGCUGCUGUGGUGCUGCUGAAAGUUGUACAUGACAACUACAUCCUUUAAAAUGACUGUUGGAUCAGUUGUAUGCAAAUGAUUGAGCUAAUUUUUGUUAAAGUAAAUACAACCCCUACUGUACACAAAAAUUACAAAUUGGUAUGUCUACGUUUUAAUGCACUUUACAUUUUAUUUUAUGAACAUAAAAAAAAAAAAAUUAUACUGCGCUUAUUGCAACUACACAGGCUGCUACUGCGUCAGCAGGCCUACUUGGUAACUGCCCUUUGGCAGAUUUAACAGU